rnacentral:rRNA from 1 species
UUCAUGGAGAGUUUGAUCCUGGCUCAGGACGAACGCUGGCGGCGUGCUUAACACAUGCAAGUCGAACGAUGAAGCCC